CAAACGCAAAAAAUCUUCGAAUAAACUAAACCGAGAAUAUGAGAAAAUCCCGAAACUCACGACUGGAUACGCUAUUUUGCGGCAACAAAAACUUGCCAUAGGCUCGGUGAUAUCGAAUGUUAUCAAAACCGACACAAAUUGACAAAACUAUACAAUCCCCUGAAUCUUCGAUCCCUCAGUGCACAAACGGAAUCAAUGCACAAUAUGGGUUAUCGAAGAUAAAAAAAAUCAUGAUGUGUACGCGAAAUCCCAUUUAUCUCCAAUUUCAGUCGUCUCUGAUCAGCAGGAUAUAUCAUCGUAAUCUUCAGAAUUAUUAAGCGAAGAGUUAUGCAAAGAUCAAACGUCAGAUGAUGCCACUUGUACAAACAAUUAUAAUUCGGUUGCUUUCAGUGAUGCUGAGAACAGUUUCGAGUUUGCGAAAUGAAUCUGGGGAAAAUAUUCGGAAGAUGAAUCUAACUGAACCUGCACCGGAAUGCCCAAACCGCGAAGAAGAAGAGCAUUGCUACAAAAAUGAUUUACUUCAUCCACACGGAUAUUCAUGGAUAUUUAACAGAAAGCAACCAGAUACGUUACAAAUAUAUGGAUGCAUAUAAUAGAAACCACCCAGAUACAGUCAGAGCGAUGGAUUUGUGCAUGAAA